GAUGAGAUAUUAAUGUCUUGUAUGAGUUAAUUAAGAAUGAUCCAUAUGUUUUACAGCUUAUUGAUUGUGUGCCUUUUCUUCAUACUCCAGUGCAUGUCGCAGCCUCUGCAGGGCAAAUUGAGUUUCUGAUGGAGAUGAUCAGCUGAAAGCCGUGGUUUGCAAGAAAGCUAAACCAAGAUGGCUUUAGCCCCAUGCACUUAGCUUAGCAAAAUGAUAGAACUCAAGCAGUGGUUCGAAUCCUCAGGUUUGACAAAAUCCUUGUUUGUGUCAGAGGGAGGGCGGGCCUCACUCCUGUGCACCAUGUGGUUCAAAUUGGAAACUUCAUUCUUUUUUUAGUUUUCAGUCCCCCCGCAAUGGACAUUUUGGAACAAGAUGAUUGGACAUUUGAACCCUCCUCGUUUUGGUUUGACAACACUUUGACCUUUUGGGCAGCACGUGUUAAUCAUAGUCCACUAAAUCAUUCUGUCAUCACUCCCUUUACCACUCAUUUAGCUUGUCUUUUGUUUGGUCUAUGAUUUCCUACUUCGAAAUUUCCCUAGACCUUUCGAGACGUUUUAUUUUCUCAAAUUAGUGUGUUUUACUCACCUAUAAAAUCAAAAUAUUUAAUCCACUUGAGUUGCAUUUGAUUUGGACUGGAUGUGUAUUUUCUAUGGCUUUGGAGUACUUAGAAGUUUCCUUCGACUUUGGAUGAAAUUUGUUUUUUUAGACAAGAGUGUUCGAAUCAAGUAUAAAUUUUGGUCAGAUUCCUGUGUUUUUGCAAAAUAUAAGUUUUAUUUCCUUUCCUACAUUCUCUUCUGGUUCUUUUUUCUGUGUUUUGCUGCAAAUUUCCUUAGUUUUCAAUUUUCAAUUAUCUGAAAAUUUACUGCCUAAUUUAUUACCCUCCAAAAAAAGCUAUGGAUGAGACGAUGAUACAGGCCGCCCAAACAGGAGAUAUUAACCUCUUGUAUGAGUUGAUUCUGCGUGAUCCAUACGUUUUAGAGCGUAUUGAUGCUGUGCCUUUUUCUCAUACUCCAUUGCAUGUAGCAGCUUCUGCUGGGCAUAUUGAGUUUAUGAUGGAGAUGAUCAAAUUAAAGCCAACGUUUGCAAGAAAGCUAAACCAAGGUGGGUUUAGCCUCAUGCACUUGGCUCUGCAAAAUGACAGAACUCAAGCAGUGCUUCUACUUCUCAGGUUUGAUGAAGGCCUUGUUCGUGUCAAAGGGAGGGGGGACCUCACUCCUCUGCAUCAUGUGGUUCAAACUGGAAAUGUUGAUCUUUUGAUCAAGUUACUUAAGGUUUGUCCGGAGGCUAUUGCAGAUGUGACUGUUCGAGAUGAGACGGUAUUCCAUCUUGCUGUGAAAAAAAACAUGUUUGAAGCUUUCCAAGUCUUGGUGGGGUGGCUUAUAAGAAGCCGCCAUGAGUCUGCCUAACGUUGGGAGACAGAACUACUGAGUUGGCCAGACAUUGAUGGCAACACUGUUUGUAGCUAUCAGAAACAGACCACGGGUGGUAAAAGUAUUGCUGGAAUGUUAAACUAUAGCAUAGAAGAACUAAAGGAAACAAAGAUGAUCAAGAAGAAUACAUCAUUUUUUCAUAUCUGACUUCUGAAUACAACUGCUAUUUAAUAGAGAAUAGGAGCCAACUGCACUAACAGCUAACUGCUAACAGACUUAACAGUCAAUAACAGUCUACCUAACUUUUGCUUGUAAAACACAAUCAUCACUGGACAAAACUCGAAGAGCGUGGCGAAAGGUUGCAAACUAUUUGGGCGUGAUGGGCUUGGUGAGGACAUCCGCAAUUUGUUUGUCAGAUGGAACAAAAUUGACCUGCAGUGUUUCAUCAAUGACUUUCUCUCGAACAAAAUGAUGAUCAAUCUCCACGUGCUUAACUCUGGCAUGAUGUGUGGGAUUUGCAGCCAUUGAAACAGCAGAGGUGUUAUCGCACUAGAUCAUUAAGAGGUUGAGAAAGAGGCAUGCCGAGCUCAUCUAACAGCUGCUUGACCCACAGUAGCUCAGACACAGAAUUGGCUAAGCUUCGAUAUUCAGCUUUUGACGAAGACCUGGAUACAACUGGUUGCUUCUUAGAGCACCAAGCAAUAGGAUUUGCCCCUAAGAACACAACAUUGCUAGUGGUGGAACGCCGAUCUUCGACUGAGGAAGCCCAGUCAGCAUCAGAAUAGUAGACUAAGGCAAACGGACCCUUAGAGAGAUAUAGUCAAUGAUCUAUUGUUCGAAGGAGAUACCUCAACACACGUUUGACAGCCUUCCAAUGUAACUCACUUGGAGAAUUCAUAUAUUGGCUAAGUUUAUUAACACAAAAAGACAAGUCAGGGCGUGUGAUGCAAACAUAUUGAAGCAUACCAACAGCACUGUGAUAACGAUGCCCAUCAGCAAACGAGGGACUGUCAUCAGAAGCAACUAGCUUAGAAGUAUAGUUUUGCAAGGAUGACCUAACCUAGCAUGCCAAACAUUUAAAGGAACAUUUGAGCUUGUAGUAAAACAUUGAGCUGAGGCAGAGGGCAAUCCAAUGUGAGAUGAGCCACGUAAAUCUAGCUUGUAUAGACCAUGAUGAACAGAUCCUUGAAGAAGCACCUCCUUGGUGUUUAGAUCAUGCACCUGACACUGUGUAGGAAGAAAUUCAAAGAUCACCUGAUUCUCUUUUGUGAACUUGGAUACAGACAACAGAUUCUUUGUUAUACCAGGUACAAAGAGUAAAGAUCUUAUGUAUAACGGUCUUGUACGAGUGAGCAAAGAAGACUGACCAGUAGAUAAAACAGGAAGUGUAGCACCAUUUCCAACAUACACCUUACCUGGGCCGUUGUAGGAAGUGCUCUUACCCAUUGAAGAAGGCGAAUAAGUAAGGUGAUGUGUAGCCCUAGAAUCCGGAUACCAAGCAUUUUCACUAACAACUUCUGAAGUUGCAAUGAGAGCUUGAGAAGGAGACAUCGAAGUAGCCACACUAGCAGACUGUGAAGCAUUGACUAGAAACGAAUUGGGCCAAGUAGGCACUGGAACAGGUAGAAAAUACCAGCCUGGUUGAGAGACAGGAGCAGAAGUUGAGGUUGGCACAGAGGAUGAAUUAGGCCAAGGCACCAUGUGAGUCCCCGAACCAUACAUACAAACAUUGGCAUGUGGUUGUGGAGGAGGUUUGUAGCCUGCACUUUUGUACGAAGCAUUAAAUCGAUAGUAGCAGCGAUCCACUAGAUGACCCUGCUUACCACAUAACUGACAUUGAAAUCGCAAACCGGACGAGCGACCACGUCCACGACCUCAAGUGUUGGAGGGAGACCGAUAAGCUGGUGAAGAAGUAGUUAAAUCAGCAGACUGAUGAGUCACUAUGUUGGCGGAGCUAGGAACCUCAGUCAUGAGAACCUGGUGACGAACUUCAGCAUCAAGCAGCAUAGUAGUUACACCCUGAGCAUUGUACAGAACUGGAUUGGCGGUGAUGAUCGUGAUGAUCAACUCAUAUUUGGACGGCAAGCCAUUGAGAAUGGCAGUGACAUGCUCAUGAUCACUAAUGGCCUCUCCACAACUGGCAAGAUUUGAGCAGAAGUAUCCAUACCAAUAAGAUGAGGAAGGACAGCUUGACUGACGGAAGACAGGAGCCAUAAAGCAAGCGCACUGUCUUGCUGUUCAAACUUAGCAAACUCAAGAUUCUCCUGGAGAACACCAUCAGCAUCCGGAACAAGCAAAGGAGGAGGAACAGUACGUGUAUCCAAGAACUAUUGAAGUUUGUAUGUCUUGAUUGCCAAGAGAACCUACUGACGCCAUAACAAGAAAUUAGUGUCAUCAAGAAGAACACCUAUUUUCUUGGUAGUAAAGAACCGGCUAUCAACAACUCCAUCAACAAGAGUAGAGGACAUCGGAACGCGCAGCUGACAGACUGGAAGGAAUAGACACAAAGAGAAAAAGAAGAAAAACAAAACUCCAGGAAUCAAUGGCUAGCCGAUACCAUGUUAAACUAUAGCAUAGAAGAACUAAAGGAAACAAAGAUGAUCAAGAAGAAUACACCAUUUUUUCAUAUCUGACUUCUGAAUACAAUUGCUAUUUAAUAGAGAA